rnacentral:rRNA from 1 species
UGAAUACGAGACGCUAAGGCGUCGAAGUAGUGUAUGUCAUACUUCCAAGAAAAGCUUGCACUGUCAUAGAUAAAAAACGCCUGUACCAUAACCGACACAGGUGGGUAGGUAGAGUAUACUAAGGGGCGCGAGAUAACUCUCUCUAAGGAACUCGGCAAAAUAACUCCGUAACUUCGGGAGAAGGAGUGCCUUAUUCGUAAGGUUGCAAUAACAAGAUCCAAGCAACUGUUUAUCAAAAACACAGGUCUCCGCUAAGUCGUAAGACGAUGUAUGGGGGCUGACGCCUGCCCAGUGCCAGAAGGUUAAAGAAGUUGGUUAGCAAUUGCGAAGCUGAUAACUGAAGCCCUGGUGAACGGCGGCCGUAACGAUAACGGUCCUAAGGUAGCGAAAUUCCUUGUCGGGUAAGUUCCGACCCGCACGAAAGGCGUAAUGAUUUGGAUACUGUCUCGGAGAGGGGCUCGGUGAAAUAGACUCGUCUGUGAAGAUGCGGACUACCUGCACCAGGACAGAAAGACCCUAUGAAGCUUUACUGUAACUUGAAAUUGAAAUUGGACUUUAUUCGCGCAGUAUAGGUGGGAGGCGUUGAUUAUAAUCUUGUGGGAUUAUUGGAGCCAUCAGUGAGAUACCACUCUUGUAAUGUUAGAUUUCUAACUUUGAAUCAUUAUCUGGUCAAAGAACAGUUUCAGGCGGGCAGUUUGACUGGGGCGGUCGCCUCCUAAACGGUAACGGAGGCGUACAAAGGUUUCCUCUGAACGGUUAGAAAUCGUAUCUAGAGUGUAAAGGCAUAAGGAAGCUUGACUGUGAGACCUACAAGUCGAGCAGGGACGAAAGUCGGUCUUAGUGAUCUGACGGUACUGAGUGGAAAGGCCGUCACUCAACGGAUAAAAGUUACUCUAGGAUAACAGGCUGAUCUCCCCCAAGAGUUCACAUCGACGGGGAGGUUUGGCACCUCGAUGUCGGCUCAUCGCAUCCUGGGGCGGUAGUACGUCCCAAGGGUUGGGCUGUUCGCCCAUGAAAGCGGUACGCGAGCUGGGUUCAGAACGUCGUGAGACAGUUCGGUCCAUAUCCGGUGUAGGCGUUAGAAUAUUGAGAGGAGCCUUCUUUAGUACGAGAGGACCGAGAAGGACAUACCUCUGGUGUACCAGUUAUCGUGCCAACGGUAAACGCUGGGUAGCUAUGUAUGGAGUGGAUAACCGCUGAAAGCAUCUAAGUGGGAAGCCCACCUCGAGAUAAG